UUUGAAAUUUAGAUAUAUGCUGUUUCCGAAGAUCUGAGUACAUAAAUGAAGAUUACGUCAUGCAGAACGUCACAAAGAUGGAUGAUCAUCAAUAUCAGGACAUUGGUGCAGAUCAAAAAAAUGAAUAUCUCAGUUUAUCAUGAAGGUUGAAUAAUUGUCUGAAGAGCACAAAGGACCAUAAAGCAUGAUUUAUUUACAAUGAAUAAAA